rnacentral:misc_RNA from 1 species
CUGGCCUGGCCUGGCCUGACCAGUCUGUAUCAAACCUGCCUCUCAGUCUCAGUAAGAUCGUUUCACACAAUAAUACGCAGUUUAUUCAACCCCUUAAAGUGGAGUUCAAUUAGAGCUGGUGAAGUGGUUAGUGUGAGAAUGUGUAAUAGAAUGGACAUACUUUGAGAAUUUCUAGAAAAUGGAUUACAGUAGUGAUGAGGAGACUAGUCGAGGACAGGAGGAGGAGGGAGGAGAGAAGGAGGAGAGGAGGAGGAUGAGGAAGGAGAUCAAGGCCGGGACGGGGGAGCAGAAGAUCCUGUGCAGGAUAUGCGGGGAUGGAGCUGUCAGGCAUGUUCACUAUGGUGGCCAUUGUUGUUUCUCCUGUAAAGCAUUCUUUCGUCGAGCUGUAAACUGGCAAACCAAGAACAAGAGAACCUUUCAGUGCAAGUUUGAAUCAGGGUGCGAGAUCAACAUAAAGAACAGAAAAACUUGUCAGUCAUGCCGGUUUCAGAAGUGUAUAACGACGGGUAUGAAUCCCUCCUGGGUUCUGUCUGACGAUCAGAGGAAGAAAAGGUUCAAAAAGUACAGAGAGACCGGAGAAUUAAGUCCUACCAGUAGUCAGGAUUCUAGUCGCGAAGGGGAACUGGAUUUACCCCUGGAAAGGGGUUCAGGGCGGAGAAGAGCUAAGUCUGCACCCUCUCACGCGCAUAGACAGGCUAGUCGGUUCAAUCAUGAUGAUCUGAGCCUACCAGCCUCUCAGCCGGUCAGUCCUUUAGAGCGUGACUACGGAGCGUGUCGGAUAGCAAGGUGUAGUGGGGAGCUUGAUAUCAAAACGGAGCCGACUCUACUCUCGCCGCUCCGUGAGGAUCCUUUUCCUUUCGGGUUUGAUCCUUUGGAUCAUGUUCCUAUAAAAGAGGAGCCGGAGAUGGAGCUGGAUGACUUGAACAACCUGCAAACUCUGAUCUCAACCUGCGACUUUGUCACGUUAGAGGAGGAGAAGAAGAAAACGGAGGGAAAACCCCCAGAUUUUUCUCAAUAUAAACCCCCAGAUUUUCCCGAGAAUAAAAUCCCCGAGUUUCCCGAUUAUAAACCAGAUCGAUCCUCGAAGGUUGAACUGGGCCAGGAGGAGAUGUUAUCGCUAAUGAAGCUCGAAAUGUCGUUUGAAAACUCGAGUUCGAGUUUUCCCGUAAUGAGUGCCGAGACAGCGAGUAUCUGGAACUCUGUCUUGCUCUCCUGUAACUUCGAUACCUUGAACAACCGUCUCACUAAGGGUUUGCUCAGUGAAGCUGUUGAACUGUGUCUCCGACGAAAUCUAAUCUUUCUGCAGGAGAACUUGGACUUUACCUCGCUCAGUGUAGAAACGCGCAAGCUGUUGUACGGCAAGAACAUGGUAAGCAUGUGUCACGUUCGCGGACUCAUGCUGCGCUCUUCUAGUGCGCAGAACUUCACCUGUAUCAGUAACUCUAACCUAGUUCAGAUUAGUUACAAGAAUAUGAGAACCGGAGAGAUGAAACUAUGGAACCUAAUGGAGGAGGAAGAGGAGGAGGGUCAGGGGGUGAAAGAAGGAGCUACUGAGACCACCAGCUCCCUCCUCCACCUAGCGGAGGAGAUAUGGAAACUAAAAUUAGAACGAGGAACCUUCCUCAUCCUUCUCCUGGUAGUUCUAUUUUCCAGCCAGGGUUGUAACCUACAAUCCUGCUUCAUGGUGGAUAGGUUUCAGAACAAGUACCUUGCCCUACUGUACAGAUACCUGCAGAGCCAACACGGACAGGAAACUGCACAGAAACAUUUUACCAUUAUAAUGAAGUUCGUUCUUGCUCUGCUUACCAACUCCUAUUAGAACAAAUUCCCACUCCUAUAUCAUGAUACCAACUCCUACUUCGAUAUCAUUAUACCAACUCCUACUCCUAUAUCAUGAUACCGACUCCUACUCCUAUAUCAUAAUACCAACUCCUACUCCUAUAUCAUGAUACCAGCUCCUACUACUAUAUCAUAAUACCAACUCCUACUUCGAUAUCAUUAUACCAACUCCUACUCCUAUAUCAUGAUACCGACUCCUACUAUAUCAUAAUACCAACUCCUACUCCUAUAUCAUGAUACCAGCUCCUACUACUAUAUCAUAAUACCAACUCCUACUAUAUCAUGAUACCAACUCCAACUCUUAUAUAAUUACACCAACUCCUACUCUGAUAUCAUAAUACCAACUCCUACUUGAAGAUAUUACAAACUCUCUUAUACUCCAUAAGCCAUGCUACCCUAUUCCUCCUUAUACCUUCAGUUUCUAUGAAACUUUUACCUAAAAUUACAAGUGCAUUGUACACUAUGUACAACGCAAAAUGCAACGAUGCGUACAGAUGCAACCUACCUAUCUGCAUUAACGUGUAUGAAACUGCUACAAAGUAGCCUGCCUAUUUAUAUUCAAGUGUUGUAAAGUGCACAAUCUAAAGCCUACUUAAGAGUAUCAUAGUGAUACUAAAUAUACAGAGAUAUAACCUAACUAUAGGGAUCAAAGUCACUGUUGCAAAUUUGGAGAAAAUUUCGGCAAUGUCAAAAAUGAAAGUGAUAAAAAUUUAUCAAAAAGAUCAAUUAGUCAGAAUAGCACUUGUUGUCAGCAUAUUUUGGUUAUGCUGUCGACAUCAAGUUUUGUUUGUCAGCUCACUCCUAGGUUUUGACGUUGUCACAUUUUUGUGAACGGGUUUCAACAAAUCGGGUCAAAUCUUCAAUAGUUUUUAUUACAGUACAGUACAGUACAGUACAGUACAGUACAGUACAGUACAGUACAGUACAGUACAGUACAGUACAGUACAGUUUGUAAAGUACAAACAGUACAGAGUAGUACAUUACCACUUGGUUACAGCUAAACAAUUAUCAAGGCUUUCUUGUCCGGGAAGGAGCUAGGUCAAAAGAUGCAUUUAUACAAGUUUUUGACAUUGUCAAAAAAAAAUCGAUAAAAAGUGGAAGUGUACUAUACUGUGUGUUUGUGCUGAUAAUAGUUUAAUUGUUAUUCAUUGUAAAUGUUAUUUAUUGUAAAAUGUCUAUUUAUCGUUGUUCGUGAUAAUACACUCGGACUGAAACGCCGGUACUCGAGUCAAACAAAAAGUACGUAAAUAUCUUACCUCAAUUCUUCGCUCCGGGUAUAUAAUUCAUAUAUUAAAAUAGUUAAGAACCAGGCUAAAAAAUGCAAUUUAUUAAUUGUGUCAUAUGUUCUUAAUCAACGUACAGAGUAUUUGACGAGAAUACUCUGAAAAUAGAAGUGUGAUCAAUUUCAAUAGCAGAAUAUUGUAACGUGAAGGAAACGAUAUGUUAUAUGUACAAAAUCGUCAUUUGUAAAAUCAAUCU